GACGAACGCUGGCGGCGUGCUUAACACAUGCAAGUCGAACGGAAAGGCCCUGCGUUUGUGGGGUGCUCGAGUGGCGAACGGGUGAGUAACACGUGAGUAACCUGCCCUUGACUUUGGGAUAACUUAAGGAAACUGGGGCUAAUACCGGAUAGGAGCUCCUGCUGCAUGGUGGGGGUUGGAAAUUUUCGGCGUUUGGGGAUGGACGCGCGGCUUAUCAGCUUGUUGGUGGGGUAGUGGCAGACCAAGGCUUGGACGGGUCGGCGGCCUGAGAGGGUGACCGGCCACCAUGGGCCUGAGAUAGGCCGCAGACUGCAACGGGGGGCAACAGUGGGAAAUAUUGCACAGUGGGCGGGAGUGUGAUACAGCAGCGCCGGGGGCGUGAUGCCGGUUUGUGGGGUAAAAACCGCUUCCGCCUGUUACGCCGCGUUUGUGACGGUACCGGGUGAAGAAGCACCGGCUAACUACGUG
rnacentral:rRNA from 1 species